CUGGAAAACACAAGAGUAACACAAACUCCAGAGAAUAUGCUGCUUGCAGCUUUAAUGAUUGUAUCAACGGUGUCUACAGGUGUAUACAACAGCUCCGGAGAGACAGCGACCAGCGAGAACGGGUCAUGAUGACGAUGGCGGUUUUGUCAAAAAGAAAAGGGGGAAAUGUAGGGAAAAGAAAGAGAGAUCAGACUGUCACUGUGCCUAUGUAGAAAGGGAAGACAUAAGAGACUCCAUUUUGAAAAAGACCUGUACUUUAAACAAUUGCUUUGCUGAGAUGUUGUUAAUUUGUAGCUUUCCCCAGCCACUUUGACCCAACCUGGAGCUCACAAAAACAUGUGUUGUAUAAAAUCAAUGUUUAAGGGAUCUAGGGCUGUGCAGGACGUGCCUUGUUAACAAAAUGUUUACAAGCAGUAUACUUGGUAAAAGUCAUCGCCAUUCUCUAGUCUCAAUAAACCAGGGCACAGUGCACUGCAGAAAGCCGCAGAGACCUCUGCCCUUGAAAGCAGGGUAUUGUCCAAGGUUUCUCCCAAUGUGAGAGUCUGAAAUAUGGCCUCGUGGGAUGAGAAAGACCUGACCGUCCCCCAGCCCGACACCUGUAAAAGGUCUGUGCUGAGAUGGAUGAGUAAAAGAGGAAAGCCUCUUGCAGUUGAGAUAGAGGAAGGCCACUGUCUCCUGUCUGCCCCUGGGAACUGAAUGUCUCGGUAUAAAACCCGAUUGUACAUUUGUUCAAUUCUGAGAUAGUAGCAAAACCGCCCUAUGGUGGGAGGCGAGAUAUGUUUGCAGUAAUGCUGCCUUGUUAUUCUUUACUCCGCUGAGAUGUUUGGGUG
rnacentral:lncRNA from 1 species